rnacentral:rRNA from 1 species
AUUGAACGCUGGCGGCAGGCUUAACACAUGCAAGUCGAGCGGGGUGAUGGUGCUUGCACUAUCACUUAGCGGCGGACGGGUGAGUAAUGCUUAGGAAUCUGCCUAUUAGUGGGGGACAACAUCUCGAAAGGGAUGCUAAUACCGCAUACGUCCUACGGGAGAAAGCAGGGGAUCACUUGUGACCUUGCGCUAAUAGAUGAGCCUAAGUCGGAUUAGCUAGUUGGUGGGGUAAAAGCCUACCAAGGCGACGAUCUGUAGCGGGUCUGAGAGGAUGAUCCGCCACACUGGGACUGAGACACGGCGCAGACGCCUACGGGAGGCAGCAGUGGGGAAUUUUGGACAAUGGGGGGAACCCUGAUCCAGCCAUGCCGCGUGUGUGAAGAAGGCCUUAUGGUUGUAAAGCACUUUAAGCGAGGAGGAGGCUCUUUUGGUUAAUACCCAAGAUGAGUGGACGUUACUCGCAGAAUAAUCACCGGCUAACUCUGUGCCAGCCGCCGCUGUAA